AGUGAACGCUGGCGGUAGGCCUAACACAUGCAAGUCGAACGGCAGCACAGUAAGAGCUUGCUCUUACGGGUGGCGAGUGGCGGACGGGUGAGGAAUACAUCGGAAUCUACUUUUUCGUGGGGGAUAACGUAGGGAAACUUACGCUAAUACCGCAUACGACCUACGGGUGAAAGCAUGGGAUCUUCGGACCUUUCGCGAUUGAAUGAGCCGAUGUCGGAUUAGCUAGUUGGCGGGGUAAAGGCCCACCAAGGCGACGAUCCGUAGCUGGUCUGAGAGGAUGAUCAGCCACACUGGAACUGAGACACGGUCCAGACUCCUACGGGAGGCAGCAGUGGGGAAUAUUGGACAAUGGGCGCAAGCCUGAUCCAGCAAGACCGCGUGGGUGAAGAAGGCCUUCGGGUUGUAAAGCCCUUUUGUUGGGAAAGAAAAGCAGCAGGUUAAUACCCCGCUGUUCUGACGGUACCCAAAGAAUAAGCACCGGCUAACUUCGUG
rnacentral:rRNA from 1 species